rnacentral:lncRNA from 1 species
ACCUAUAACGCGUUUCAGCCAGGCGAGAUAUUAUGUUUGGUCCGUUACAGACACACACACACACACACACACACACACACACACACACACACACACACACACACACACACACACACACACACGGACAUGGGCAAUCCUACAGGUCGGGGCCCCCCUGGGCGCUUCGCGCUGGGGCCCUGCCCAAAAAACACUGGAACGAACUCUAUUCGAUCAGUGUUUGAGAGAUUGUGGUGACGCGUGUUGCGGCAUUCCCCACGGCGUUUGCACGAAGUAAACUGUAACUCAUCGGGAGGGGUCUGGGGGGGGGCGGAGCCCCCCCCCGCGCCUUACAGAUUCGGAAUACUUUUAUUCCCGCGACUAAAAACCUAUACCUCCGUUCGGACUGGAAAAUUCACCGGCAAAAUUGAAAAGAAAAACACUGGAACGAACUCUAUUCGAUCAGUGUUUGAGAGAUUGUGGUGACGCGUGUUGCGGCAUUCCCCACGGUGUUUGCACGAAGUAAACUGUAACUCAUCAAGGGGGGUCUGGGGGGUGGCCUUACAGAUUCGGAAUGCUUUUAUUCCCGCGACUAAAAACCUAUUCAUCCGUUCGGACUGGAAAAUUCACCGGCAAAAUUGAAAAGAAAAGCACUGUCCCCUGAUGCCUCUAUCCACUGCCGCCUCCUCCCCAGCUGCCUCCUCCCCUGCCGCUCCUCCCUGGCCGCCUUCUCAUCUGCCGCCUCUAUCCCCUGCCGCCUCUUCCCCUGGCGCUCCUCCCCUGCCGCCUUCUCCCUUGCCGCCUCUAUCCCCUGCCGCCUCCUGCCCUGCCGCCUCUAUCUGCUGCCGCCUCCUCCCCAGCCGCCUCCUCCCCAGCCGCCUCCUCCAGCCGCCUUCUCCCCUGCCGCUCCUCCCCGGCCGCCUUCUCACCUGCCGCCUCUAUCCCCUGCCGCCUCUAUCCCCUUCCGCCUUCUCCCACCCCUAGGGUGUACAUGUGCAUGACGUCACCUUCCGUUUGUGCGCAACUGAAAAUGACGUGACCAAUAUCAGACUUGUCACAAAACCUGAAUAAGCUCUAUCCCCUGCCAUCUCCUCCCAUGCUGCCUCUAUCCUCUGCUGCCUCCUUCCCUGCCACAUCCUCCCCUGUCGCCUCUAAGCCCUGCUGGUCCUGGCCUGCCACCUUCUCCCCUGCCGUCUCAUCCCCUGCCGCUUCCGUCCCCUGUCACCAUCUCCCCUACCGCCACUAUCCCCUGCUGCUCCUCGCCUGCUGCCUCAUCCCCUGCCGCUUCCGUCCCCUGCUGCUUCUUGAAUUGAAUUGCUACAGAGAGGGAGGCUUCCGGGCCAUUUGAACACAUCAUCAUUUCUACGAUUUAUCAUACCAUACAGCACCAUCCACCAUUACCACACUGUACUACAGCAUACGAACUGGUAGUUCACGGCGGUUGAUCCUGCCUCCUAGCAUCCGAGCAUCUGCAGAGACAGAGGGUUCAGCAAACGCCACCAAUCCAGCGUGCGAAUCUCGAUCCAUCAUCUGUGAUCUCAACUUCACAUCUCAGCAGCUAGCCAUUAU